AUGUUUGUGCUGAGGCCUAAAUGUUCAGAAAGAGGAAGUCACACAAACUUCUGGGCGGAAAAGUGUUCUAGACAAAGCCUGUGUCCCGGAUUGUGCUCUGUGAGGACCCAUCUGUCUGCUUCGUGGAGAAGGCGUAGAGCCGGGUGAGGGCCAGGACAGAGGCAGCGCACACACUGGGCUGUGUGACAUCCUGGUGCCUGCACUGGGGAAGGCUGGGUGUCACCUGCAGAGGGCUGAUUCGAGAGAUGCUUUGAGAGUGGCCCUGGUGAGACUUGCUGAUGGAUCUGAGGUGACUCUCAAAGGUGAGAGAGGAGGCAGUGAUGGCAGCUGGGUCUGUUUCCUGAGAUGGGGAGGCCAGAGCUUUAAGAAACAUGGAAGCUCAGGAGGGCUGGAGGCUGAAGUCCUGUCCUGCUAUCCUACUGUGGUGGGUGACAGGAUGAGGUGA
rnacentral:lncRNA from 10 species